GUCACUUUAUAUUAUAUCCUUCGUUCCAACUUCCCUCCCAUAACAGUGGCAUCCUCUAUCAGCAGUAUCAACCUUUCCUUUUUUUUAAACCUUUCAUCCAAUAUCAGGGGCACGAGGUGUUAUUUUGAGGUUUUAUCUGUCGGUCUUUCGGUGGGAGAGGGAUUGGUAAACUAUUGAUUUAUGUUAAUAUGUAUCCCGAAAAAUCGUGACGGACACUAAGUCACAACCCGUUUUAUAAUAUAACCG